ensembl:miRNA mir-4922.2 ncRNA
GUGAGUAGGACAAUUCAUAUUGAAAAUAUUGUCUUUUAUAUAACUGUUCUAUUCACAG